rnacentral:misc_RNA from 1 species
CUCAUUCAUUCAAUUAAUAAACUCCAAAAAGCCAAUAUGAUAAAUCCAUGCUUUGCCUGCCCCAAUGCUAUUAGGAAUCCAAAAUAACAGAAAAAAUUAAGCAUAUUCCACCCUCCAAUGAUCAGCAAGAUACUAGAGAAUAAUGCUGACAAAGUGAUACAGAUGGAUUGAAUUACAUAUCAGGGACUUGUUCAUCCCUAAAGCACUCCAAAACCUGCUAAAGGGGCAGACGUAUAGUCCCCAUGAAGAAAUGCAUCCCACAAAAG